CCAUGGGCAAGGACACCUUUUACUCGACCGGGUUGCUCAGAGCCUCAUCCAGCAUUGAACCCCUUCAGGGAUGUGGCAUCCACAACACCACUGAGCAACCUGAUCCAGAGCCUCACCUCUCUUACAGUAAAGGGUUUUCCCCUAAUAGUCAGUCUAAACCUACUCUCUUUCCAUUUGCACCCAUUCCCUCUUUUCCCGUCACUACAUGCUCUUGUAAAUAGUCUUGGCCCAGGCUACAAUUAGGUCAUGCUGGAAUCCUCACUCUUCCAGGCUGAACAAUCCCAAUCCUCUCAGCCUUUCCUCAUAGGAGAGGUGCUUCAUUCCUCUGAACACCUUGUUGGUCCUACUCUGGGUCACAACUGUUUGGUCCCAGAGCAGACAUCCUGUCCCACGAUGAGCCUGGCUCUUUGUUACGAGCUCCUGCUGUAGGCAUUUCAGCACAGAAGCAGAACGACACAAAAUGUGAAGUUCCUGUUGCAGCAGGGAGAACCAGUGGCCCUGCAGACACACUUCAGUAUGGAACAUCCAUGACUGCAUGGAGCGGCCACUUUGAACAUACAUCAUUUAUCCUGUUCUCUUCUGAACUAUCUUCAGCUGGUUUUCUUUUUUUGGUAACAUGAUGUCCACGACUAGACCCCGCAUUCACCCUUGUCAUAUUGUGCUGCACCUGCAGGUCAUGAUCUGUUCCACCUCAGAGGCUUUUUCAAAUUACUGCAGCCUAACCAGUCUUUUCCCAUCUCAGAUUUGUGCUGAAGAGUAAUGACCUUUCUGAAGAUAUGCUAAACAUCUCAUCUCCAAGGCAGCAGAUCCUCUCCUCCAAGCAUCAGUACCAACUCCUUGAGUGGUGCUGGAGCAGUUGUUCAUAGGCCUACACCAUCAGCUGUGUCAGUGAAACAACUCAGUCUAACAAAAAACAAAGAGUGGGGGAGGGAAGGACAAAGACUUUCUUGUGCUCCUUUUUAAUUCAGAUAAUUUUGUUGAUCUGAUUUACAGAGCAACCCUGCAAAACCAGUUUCUUGUGUAUGAGGUCACUGAGCAUCUCUUAAUCAGGCUGUCUCUACUACCUUCUUCUCCUUCCUACACACCAGGAUAAUUUCCAUCUGUGCUUACAACACUGUGGAACUCCUCUGAGCUACUUCGCUCUUACACUCAAUUUUUUCUCUUCUGCCACCAAUUGUCAAAGCAAAGUCUUCUUUGAGGACACUAGUUUUGGUCUCCCAUUCUCUUUUUUCUCUUGCAAAAAUUUUGAAAAAAGUUUGCAACAAUAAACACUAGAUAAUUUCCCUCUAAUUUGAAGUUAACAAAUUUUUUUUCAGACUUUUAAAAUUAUUCAGUGACAAGAGGCUGUAAUAAAUCUGCAGAUUUGCAGAGGGAUCCUGCCGUAGCUUGCAGGGCUGGCUGGGAUCCUCACCCUGCUUUCUUCAUCCCUUUGCUUCAGAUGUUUCUCUCUCUUGCCCACUCCUUCUCCACAUUAUUUCCCAGAAAACAAGGCAAUUUAUAAACCUAAUUCUGACUCAACCAUUUGUUAAGAAUCAGGACUGCACAAGCCUCCUUGGACCAUAUGUAUUUGAUAAGACCUUCAUUGUGUAGUUAGGCAGAGGCUUGGCAAGCACAAGCUUGCAUGCAGUGCUGAGUGCCCUGUCUCCUCUUGAUGACAGAAACAUUACACCAAAUUGGGCAGACCUACCCUGUUUAUCAAUCCACAACUCUGAAGAUUUCACCUGCUCUUUCAAUGUCAGCUGUGUUUCUCUAAAACACAGUGCUGGAGCAAGAUAACUCAUAUAAAUUGCAGCUUACACAAGAAAGAAAUCAGGGUUUAAGAAUUGCAGAAGGACAAGAAACAAGCAGAGGGCUAUCAAAACAUGUGGCAAACCUAGGGUUCUUUUUUUCCCUUUUUGUUUGCAUAAAAUAUCACUCCGGUAGCUCAAAGUAAUUUUUUUCUUGGGAGAGCUCUGUUUGGCAAGUUGAAGAAUUCUGUAUGCAGUUUCACCAGCUCUCUGAAUAAAAAGAGAACAAAAUUCUGAGUCUCUAAGCCGGUUUCCAUUCCUGCCUUUGAACUAACAAGUAGGCAGGUAGGUUUCAAAACAACAAACAUCAAGGUGAUGUUAGGGCUCAGAUUUUAAGUGGGAGACUUAAAGCUGACUUGACUAAAGGCAAAGGUUAACCCGUCUCUGUAGUUAGUAUCACCAAUGUAGGAUUGCAAAAAAUAUUCUGUGGGAAAGCAGUGGGAUGAUUUACAGUUUUUCCUUGUC